rnacentral:rRNA from 1 species
CCCUUAGAUGUUCUGGGCCGCACGCGUGCUACACUGAGUGGAUCAGCGGGUCAGGUUGCGCGAAAGUGUUUCCUAAUCUUUAAAUCCGCUCGUGAUGGGGAUUGACGGUUGCAAUUUUCCGUCAUGAACGAGGAAUACCUUGUAAGCGCGGGUCAUCAUCCCGCGCUGAAUACGUCCCUGCCCUUUGUACACACCGCCCGUCACUCCUACCGAUUGAGUGGUCCGGUGAGGCUUUGGGAUCUGAGCAAAGAGAGCGUUUCGCUCGUUUUGCCCGGAAAACUCAGUCGAACCUUAUCAUUUAGAGGAAGGAGAAGUCGUAACA